CCUACGGGAGGCAGCAGUGGGGGAUAUUGCACAAUGGGGGAAACCCUGAUGCAGCGACGCCGCGUGGGUGAAGAAGUAUUUCGGUAUGUAAAGCCCUAUCAGCAGGGAAGAAAGAAGACGGUACCUGACUAAGAAGCCCCGGCUAACUACGUGCCAGCAGCCGCGGUAAUACGGAGGGGGCGAGCGUUAUCCGGAUUCACUGGGUGUAAAGGGAGCGUAGACGGCCGUGCAAGCCAGGAGUGAAAGCCCGGGGCCCAACCCCGGGACUGCUCUUGGAACUGUGCGGCUGGAGUGCGGGAGGGGCAGGCGGAAUUCCUGGUGUAGCGGUAAAAUGCGUAGAUAUCAGGAGGAACACCGGCGGCGAAGGCGGCCUGCUGGACCGCGACUGACGUUGAGGCUCGAAAGCGUGGGGAGCGAACAGGAUUAGAUACCCCUGUAGUC
rnacentral:rRNA from 1 species